rnacentral:rRNA from 1 species
UACAGAGGUCUCGAGCGUUAGGCGGAAUCACUGGGCUUAAAGCGUGUGUAGGUGGAUGGGUAAGUACCUUGUGAAAUCCCACAGCUUAACUGUGGAACUGCUUGGUAUACUGCCCGUCUUGAGUCACUCAGGGGCGAGCGGAACAGAUGGUGGAGCGGUGAAAUGCGUAGAUAUCAUCUGGAACGCCAAUGGUGAGGACAGCUCGCUGGGGGUGUACUGACACUGAGACACGAAAGCCAGGGGAGCAAACGGG